rnacentral:tRNA from 1 species
GGCGUGGUCAGCUAAUAAAGCCUUCGGGCCCAUACCCCGAGCAUGACGGUUAGAGUCCCUCCUCCGCCA